UACGGAGGGUGCAAGCGUUAAUCGGAAUUACUGGGCGUAAAGCGCACGCAGGUGGCUGAGAAAGUCGAUUGUGAAAGCCCUGGGCUUAACCUGGGAAUUGCAGUCGAAACUACUCGGCUAGAGUAUGGGAGAGGGUAGUGGAAUUCCCGGUGUAGCGGUGAAAUGCGUAGAUAUCGGGAAGAACACCCGUGGCGAAGGCGGCUCUCUGGGACGGUACUGACGCUGAGACGCGAAAGCGUGGGGAGCGAACAGG
rnacentral:rRNA from 1 species